rnacentral:rRNA from 1 species
UCGAGGAUCUUCGGCAAUGGGCGCAAGCCUGACCGAGCGACGCCGCGUGUGCGAUGAAGGCCUUCGGGUUGUAAAGCACUGUCGAGGGGGAGGAAGCCGCAAGGUUGACCUAUCCCUGGAGGAAGCACGGGCUAAGUUCGUGCCAGCAGCCGCGGUAAGACGAACCGUGCGAACGUUGUUCGGAAUCACUGGGCUUAAAGGGCGCGUAGGCGGGGGACCAAGUCCGGGGUGAAAUCUUUCGGCCCAACCGAAAAAUGGCCUUGGAUACUGGUUCUCUCGAGGGAGGUAGGGGCAGCUGGAACUUCCGGUGGAGCGGUGAAAUGCGUUGAUAUCGGAAGGAACGCCGGUGGCGAAAGCGAGCUGCUGGACCUCUACUGACGCUGAGGCGCGAAAGCUAGGGGAGCAAACGGGAUUAGAUACCCCCGUAGUCC